GAUGAACGCUAGCGGCAGGCUUAACACAUGCAAGUCGAGGGGUAUGCUUCUUCGGAAGCAGAGACCGGCGCACGGGUGCGUAACGCGUAUGCAAUCUACCUUUUACAGAGGGAUAGCCCAGAGAAAUUUGGAUUAAUACCUCAUAGUAUUAUAGAACGGCAUCAUUUUAUAAUUAAAGUCACAACGGUAAAAGAUGAGCAUGCGUCCCAUUAGCUAGUUGGAAGGUAACGGCUUACCAAGGCUACGAUGGGUAGGGGUCCUGAGAGGGAGAUCCCCCACACUGGUACUGAGACACGGACCAGACUCCUACGGGAGGCAGCAGUGAGGAAUAUUGGACAAUGGGCGCAAGCCUGAUCCAGCCAUGCCGCGU
rnacentral:rRNA from 1 species